GUGGUGCGAUGAUUAUAAAAAUUCCUCGUACUGAAUGCUAAUGCCAUUGCAUGACAGACUAUUUCUACCCAUAGAAUAUGAGCACC
rnacentral:snoRNA from 1 species